rnacentral:rRNA from 1 species
UACGGAGGGUGCGAGCGUUGUCCGGAAUCACUGGGCGUAAAGGGCGCGUAGGCGGCUCAUGAAGGCUGUGGUGAAAGUCCGGGGCUCAACCUCGGAUCGGCCGUGGCGACUCGUGGGCUGGAGCACUGUAGAGGCGGGUGGAAUUCCGGGUGUAGCGGUGGAAUGCGUAGAGAUCGGAAAGAACACCAACGGCGAAAGCACUCUGCUGGGCCGACACUGACACUGAGAGACGAAAGCUAGGGGAGCGAAUGGG